rnacentral:rRNA from 1 species
AAUCAACGCUGGCGGCGUGCCUAACACAUGCAAGUCGAACGCGAAAGCCCGCAAGGGUAAGUAGAGUGGCGCACGGGUGAGUAACACGUGGACAACCUGCCUUCGAGUGGGGAAUAACCUUCCGAAAGGAGGGCUAAUACCGCAUAACACCUCGGGACACAAGUCUUGGGGUUGAAAAGAGCAAUUUGCUCGAAGAGGGGUCCGCGCCUGAUUAGCUAGUUGGUGAGGUAACGGCUCACCAAGGCUUCGAUCAGUAGCCGUCCUGAGAGGGAGCACGGCCACACUGGAACUGAGACACGGUCCAGACUCCUACGGGAGGCAGCAGUGGGGAAUCUUGCGCAAUGGGCGAAAGCCUGACGCAGCGACGCCGCGUGC